UACGGAGGGUGCGAGCGUUGUCCGGAAUCACUGGGCGUAAAGGGCGCGUAGGUGGCGCGGGAAGUCAACGGUGAAAGUUCGGGGCUCAACCCUGAAUCGGCCGUCGAUACUCCCGGGCUCGAGCACUGUAGAGGCAGAUGGAAUUCCGGGUGUAGCGGUGGAAUGCGUAGAGAUCCGGAAGAACACCGGUGGCGAAGGCGGUCUGCUGGGCAGUAGCUGACACUGAGGCGCGGACAGCGUGGGGAGCAACAGG
rnacentral:rRNA from 1 species